rnacentral:rRNA from 1 species
CCCUUAGAUGUUCUGGGCCGCACGCGCGCUACACUGACGAAUGCAACGAGCUUAUAACCUUGGCCGAAAGGUCUGGGUAAUCUCCAAAUUUCGUCGUGAUGGGGAUGGAUUAUUGCAAUUAUUAAUCUUCAACGAGGAAUGCCUAGUAAGCGCAAGUCAUCAGCUUGCGUUGAUUACGUCCCUGCCCUUUGUACACACCGCCCGUCGCUCCUACCGAUUUCGAGUGGUCCGGUGAACCUUCUGGACCGCGAGAGUCUCGUGCUCUUGUGGAAAGUUAAGUAAACCUUAUCACUUAGAGGAAGGAGAAGUCGUAACA